ensembl:lncRNA
AAAAAUUUUGAAGUAAAAUGAAAUGAAAAAAAUGAAAAAUAAAGUUAGAUUUUUCUCUUUUUUUGACAGCUUUCAAUCCUUUGUAAAAGAGCAGAUGCACAAAAUUUCAAAGAUGUGCACAUACGUAGGCUAAUGUAAGGUGAUUUUUCUUGAAUUUCAUAUAUUUACAAAUAUUUGCUAAGCAAAUGACAUAUUAAUAUGUGGCAUGUAUUUUUCCCAUUUAGGCGAGGAAGUGUCAUUGCUGAAAGUAUUGCAGUAUAUAACUAUCCCAACAACAACUCGCAAAUAAUGUUUCUAAAUAACGAUUUGGGACCCACCCUGGAAAAAAUCUUUAACGACUCAGAUUCGUUUAAAAAUCUCAGUAUAGAUCUCGGUAAUGUUUCCAUCCAAGAUGCCCAAAUUACCAUGGAGCCAGUUAAAAUAUCAAAAAUUUUAGAUCUGCAGCCAUUUGUGCAAUGCACAUUGAAUUUUGCAAACUUAACAGAGGAGAUUGAAGAUGGAGCAUGGGUAUGUGUGGGAUCAUGCAAAAAAAAUCCCAACUUUUGCAAUCAAAGAGGUAGAUGCCUAAAUGAAAUAAAUGGACCACAGUGCAUGUGUUACAGUUCUCCCUUUGAGGAGUACUAUGGCGCUCAGUGUGAGCUUUACAGGAGAGGGACCGGUUUCUACGCUGUUCUCUUCGGCUGUUUUGCAGCUUUUGCUCUACUUAUCAUCGUCUUGGCUGUGAUGAUUGUGGUGCUCUACAGAGCCAAGAGGUCUGUAUAAACUGUUUCUGUGACUUAUUCAUAGACCAAAACAUCAAAACAAACAAAUAACACAGUGAUCUAAUUUCAGAACAUCAAGCAAAAGGAGGUUAUCACUUUUUGACGAGGACUUCUAUGAUUUUACAUCAAGAGGUAUGAUGUCUAGCUUAAGUAAAUGCUUAAGUAAAUAUACUUCAGCAGCAGUAUAAGAUGAAAA